rnacentral:rRNA from 1 species
GAUGAACGCUAGCGGCAGGCUUAACACAUGCGAGUCGAGGGGCAGCAUGAGACGGAGAUUCGUCGAAGUCUUGAUGGCGACCGGCGCAAGGGUGCGUAACGCGUGAGCAACCUGCCCAUUUCAGGGGGAUAACCGGUGGAAACGCCGACUAAUACCCCAUAGUAUCGUGAGGAGGCAUCUCUUUACGAUUAAAGAAUUUCGGAAACGGAUAGGCUCGCGUGACAUUAGCUAGAUGGCGGGGUAACGGCCCACCAUGGCAACGAUGUCUAGGGGUUCUGAGAGGAAGGUCCCCCACACUGGAACUGAGACACGGUCCAGACUCCUACGGGAGGCAGCAGUGAGGAAUAUUGGUCAAUGGUCUGACGACUGAACCAGCCAUGCCGCGUGAAGGUGACGGCCCUAUGGGUCUUAAACUUCUUUUGUAAGGGAGCAAUAAGGUCUACGUGUAGGCUGAUGAGAGUACCUUACGAAUAAGCAUCGGCUAACUCCGUGCCAGCCGCCGCCGUAAGAC